UACAGAGGUCCCAAGCGUUGUUCGGAUUCACUGGGCGUAAAGGGUGCGUAGGUGGCGAGGUAAGUCGGAUGUGAAAGCUCGGAGCUCAACUCCGAAAUGGCAUUGGAAACUACCUUGCUUGAGGGUUGGAGGGGGGACUGGAAUUCUCGGUGUAGCAGUGAAAUGCGUAGAUAUCGAGAGGAACACCAGUGGCGAAGGCGAGUCCCUGGACAACUCCUGACACUGAGGCACGAAAGCUAGGGGAGCAAACAGG
rnacentral:rRNA from 1 species